ACGGGAGGCAGCAGUGGGGAAUAUUGCACAAUGGGGGAAACCCUGAUGCAGCGACGCCGCGUGAGUGAAGAAGUAUUUCGGUAUGUAAAGCUCUAUCAGCAGGGAAGAUAAUGACGGUACCUGACUAAGAAGCCCUGGCUAAAUACGUGCCAGCAGCCGCGGUAAUACGUAUGGAGCAAGCGUUAUCCGGAUUUACUGGGUGUAAAGGGAGCGUAGACGGCGCUGCAAGUCAGAUGUGAAAGGCUGGGGCUUAACCCCGGGACUGCAUUUGAAACUGCAGUGCUCGAGUGCCGGAGAGGUAAGCGGAAUUCCUAGUGUAGCGGUGAAAUGCGUAGAUAUUAGGAGGAACACCAGUGGCGAAGGCGGCUUACUGGACGGUAACUGACGUUGAGGCUCGAAAGCGUGGGGAGCAAACAGGAUUAGAUACCCUGGUA
rnacentral:rRNA from 1 species